rnacentral:rRNA from 1 species
ACGGAAGGCAGCAGUGGGGAAUAUUGGGCAAUGGGGGAAACCCUGACCCAGCAGCGCCGCGUGAGGGAAGAAGAUCUUCGGAUUGUAAACCUUAGUCAACAGGGAAGAAGAAAGUGACGGUACCUGUGGAGGAAGCCACGGCUAACUACGUGCCAGCAGCCGCGGUAAUACGUAGGUGGCGAGCGUUAUCCGGAUUUACUGGGUGUAAAGGGCGUGUAGGCGGGACUGCAAGUCAGAUGUGAAAGCACGAGGCUCAACUUCGGGUCUGCAUUUGAAACUGUAGAUCUUGAGUGUUGGAGAGGCUAACGGAACUCCUAGUGUAGCGGUGAAAUGCGUAGAUAUUAGGAAGAACACCAGUGGCGAAGGCGGUUAGCUGGACAAUAACUGACGCUGAGGCGCGAAAGCGUGGGUAGCAAACAGGAUUAGAUACCCUGGUA